rnacentral:misc_RNA from 1 species
AAGAAGAAGGAUUCUUUUAAAAAUAAAUAAAGAAGCCAUUCUAAAGUAAAAAUAACAAACUCAACUAAGUUGUUUUGACUUCUGAUUUGAACAUGGCUAAUGAUCCUCAAUUGAGUCAUUAUUGAACUUUAGGAAUUAGCAUGCAUGUGUUUUCCUGUGUCAAAGAGAGAGGGAGAGAGAGCAUUUUAUGCAUAUUGCAUUUUCUGUCAAGUAUCAUGUUGUGCCCUAAUAUUUAGGGGUGAGCAUUCGGUUAAUUCAGUUCAAAAACGAACCGAACCCAAACAAAGGAAUCGAAUUAAACUAAACCGAAAUAAUUCGAUUCAGUUCAGUUUGGUAGUUCGGCCUUCCUUUAUCUAUGCUACAAAUUCCUAGGGAUGGCAACAAGUAGGCUACCUACGAAAAUCACAUUAUCCAAACCUGAACCCGAUUAAUAUUCUCAAAAUCCGGACCCACCCCAAAACCGAUUAAAAUUUAUUCUCAAUUACUUGAACCCGUCUGAAAACUGAUUAUUAGUAACCGAAAAAUAUCAGAACUCAUUUUAAUUUUAUAUAUUUUAUUUUAAUUAAUA